AGUGAACGCUGGCGGUAGGCCUAACACAUGCAAGUCGAACGGCAGCACAGGACUUCUUGCUCUCUGGGUGGCCAGAGGCGGGCGGGUGAGGAAUAAAUCGGCCUCUGCCCAGUCGUGGGCGAUAACGAAGGGACACUUAUGCUACUUACGCCUUCGACCUUCGGGCGAGAGACGGGGGUCGCAUGCGCUCUCACGUUAGGCUGAGCCGAAGUCGGAUUAGCUAGUUGGCGGGGUAAUGGCACACCAAGGCCACGAUCCGUAGCUGGUCUGAGAGGAUGAUCAGCCACACUGGAACUGAGACACGGUCCAGACUCCUACGGGAGGCAGCAGUGGGGAAUAUUGGACAAUGGGCGCAAGCCUGAUCCAGCCAUACCGCGUGGGUGAAGAAGGCCUUCGGGUUGUAAAGCCCUUUUGUUGGGGAAGAAAGCUUUCAGGCUAAUACCCUGGGAGGAUGACGGUACCCAAAGAAUAAGCACCGGCUAACUUCGUG
rnacentral:rRNA from 1 species